CCUACGGGUGGCAGCAGUGAGGAAUAUUGGUCAAUGGGCGGAAGCCUGAACCAGCCAAGUAGCGUGCGGGAUGAAGGCCCUACGGGUCGUAAACCUCUUUUGUCAGGGAACAAAGGCGGGGACGUGUCCCCGGAUGAGUGUACCUGAAGAAAAAGCAUCGGCUAACUCCGUGCCAGCAGCCGCGGUAAUACGGAGGAUGCGAGCGUUAUCCGGAUUUAUUGGGUUUAAAGGGUGCGCAGGCGGUCUGUUAAGUCAGCGGUCAAAGCCCGGGGCUCAACCCCGGCCCGCCGUUGAAACUGGCAGUCUCGAGUUGGAGAGAAGUAUGCGGAAUGCGCGGUGUAGCGGUGAAAUGCAUAGAUAUCGCGCAGAACUCCGAUUGCGAAGGCAGCAUGCCGGCUCCACACUGACGCUGAGGCACGAAAGCGUGGGUAUCGAACAGGAUUAGAUACCCUGGUAGUC
rnacentral:rRNA from 1 species